GCGCGAAAACUCCACAAUGUACGGAAGUACGAUGGGGUUAUCUCGAGUGCAGUCCGAUAAGGGCUGCUUUUCCAUAGAGUAAUAUCCUGUGGGAAUAAGAGGGGGGCAAGACUGGUGUCAGCCGCCGCGGUAACACCAGCCCCUCGAGUGGUAGGGACUUUUAUUUGGCCUAAAGCGUCCGUAGCUGGCUGUAUCCGUUUCCCGGUAAAUCCGGCGUCUUAAGCGUCGGGCCUCGGGCAAUACCAUACAGCUUGAGGGUGGGAUAGGUGAGCGGUAUUUCUGGGGUAGGGCGAAAUCCUUUGAUCCCAGGAGGACCACCAGUGGCGAAGGCUGCUCACUAGAACACGCCUGACGGUCAGGGACGAAAGCGUGGGCAGCGAACCGGAUUAGACUACCCGAGUACGUCCCAGCUAGUAAACGAUGCUAGCUAGGUGUUGGGUCGCCAGUCGCCCGCCCAGUCGCCGCGAGGGAAGCCGUUAAGCUAGCCGCGUGGGGACGUACGGCCGCAAGGCUAGAAAACUUAAAGGAAGUUGGGCGGGGGA
rnacentral:rRNA from 1 species